rnacentral:rRNA from 1 species
UGCAAGUCGAACGAAGAUGGCAGCCUCUGGUUGGCAUCUUAGUGGCGGACGGGUGAGUAACGCGUAAGAACUUGCCCCUGGGAGAGGGAUACCAACUGGAAACGGUUGUUAAUACCUCAUAGGCUGAGGAGUAAAAUGGUUAACACCGCCUAGGGAUAGGCUUGCGUCUGAUUAGCUAGUUGGUGGGGCAAAGGCCUACCAAGGCAAUGAUCAGUAGCUGGUCUGAGAGGACAAUCAGCCACACUGGGACUGAGACACGGCCCAGACUCCUACGGGAGGCAGCAGUGAGGAAUUUUCCGCAAUGGGCGAAAGCCUGACGGAGCAAUGCCGCGUGGAGGAUGAAGGCCCGUGGGUUGUAAACUCCUUUUCUUAGAGAAGAAGCCCUGACGGUAUCUAAGGAAUAAGCAUCGGCUAACUCCGUGCCAGCAGCCGCGGUAAUACGGGGGAUGCAAGCGUUAUCCGGAAUCAUUGGGCGUAAAGGGUCCUGAGGUGGUUUGCUAAGUCUACUGUGAAAGAUCAGGGCUCAACCCUGAAGAUGCGGUGGAAACUGGCAGGCUAGAAUACGGUAGGGGCAGGGGGAAUUCCCGGUGUAGCGGUGAAAUGCAUAGAUAUCGGGAAGAACACCAAAGGCGAAGGCACUCUGCUGGGCCGAUAUUGACACUGACAGACGAAAGCUAGGGGAGCGAAUGGGAUUAGAUACCCCAGUAGUCCUAGCCGUAAACGAUGGAUACUAAGUGCUGAACGACC